AUCAGAGCCAUCAACUCAGAUACUGGCUCUUUAGAGAAUUUGUUCAAACGGAAGCAAUUGGGACCGAAGUUUGGUGAAGAGAUGUUAACAUCAACCAUUCUAAAGGUCAAAAUCAGAUGACAUAGGAG